rnacentral:snRNA from 1 species
CUGCUCGCUUCAGCAUCACAUAUACUAAAAUUGUAAUGAUACAGGGAAGAUUAGGAUGGCCUCUGUGCAAGGAUGACAUGCAGAUUUGUCAAGUGUUCCAUGUCUUU